UACGUAGGGGGCGAGCGUUGUCCGGAUUUAUUGGGCGUAAAGAGCUCGUAGGCGGUUGGGUAAGUCGGGUGUGAAAACUCAGGGCUCAACUCUGAGACGCCACUCGAUACUGCCCUGACUCGAGUCCGGUAGGGGAGCGUGGAAUUUCCGGUGGAGCGGUGAAAUGCGUAGAGAUCGGAAAGAACACCAACGGCGAAAGCACUCUGCUGGGCCGACACUGACACUGAGAGACGAAAGCUAGGGGAGCGAAUUGG
rnacentral:rRNA from 1 species